rnacentral:lncRNA from 1 species
GGCCAGAGUUCCAGGAGCAUGAGGGAAUGCCUACCGUGUCAUGAAGGUGAAUUAUGACCAUCGGGGUUCAGACCUUAGCUCAACUGGAGACCAGCCUGCAAUUCCCCACAACAAGUCUUGCACUGCAUUUCUCUCUCAGAAAGGAGUAUCAUGGAAGAGAGGAUGGAACACUGUAUGAGCCAAAGAACACCGAGGAGUGCUGCAAAAUGGUGUCUUCUGGACAAGACAGCAUGAGUAUCCAUUACCUCAUGACAGCUGUAUCUGUCUGAAUGGGUGGU